CUAGGGGAGGCAGCAGUGGGGAAUCUUCCGCAAUGGACGAAAGCCUGACGGAGCAACGCCGCGUGAGUGAAGAAGGUUUUCGGGUCGUAAAGCUCUGUUGUUUGGGACGAACGUGCCGUUUGCGAAUAGCGGGUGGUAAUGACGGUACCUGACGAGGAAGCCACGGCUAACUACGUGCCAGCAGCCGCGGUAAU
rnacentral:rRNA from 1 species